rnacentral:rRNA from 1 species
AACGAACGCUGGCGGCAGGCUUAACACAUGCAAGUCGAGCGCCCCGCAAGGGGAGCGGCAGACGGGUGAGUAACGCGUGGGAAUCUACCCAUCUCUACGGAAUAACGCAUGGAAACGUGUGCUAAUACCGUAUACGUCCUUCGGGAGAAAGAUUUAUCGGAGAUGGAUGAGCCCGCGUUGGAUUAGCUAGUUGGUGGGGUAAAGGCCUACCAAGGCGACGAUCCAUAGCUGGUCUGAGAGGAUGAUCAGCCACACUGGGACUGGGACACGGCCCAGACUCCUACGGGAGGCAGCAGUGGGGAAUAUUGGACAAUGGGCGCAAGCCUGAUCCAGCCAUGCCGCGUGAGUGAUGUAGGCCCUAGGGUUGUAGAGCUCUUUCACCGGUGAAGAUAAUGACGGUAACCGGAGAAGAAGCCCCGGCUAACUUCGUGCCAGCCGCCGCCGUAACAC